AUUAAUACCGCAUAAGAUUGUAGCUUCGCAUGAAGUAGCAAUUAAAGGAGCAAUCCGCUAUGAGAUGGGCCCGCGGCGCAUUAGCUAGUUGGUGAGGUAACGGCUCACCAAGGCGACGAUGCGUAGCCGACCUGAGAGGGUGAUCGGCCACAUUGGGACUGAGACACGGCCCAGACUCCUACGGGAGGCAGCAGUGGGGAAUAUUGCACAAUGGGGGAAACCCUGAUGCAGCAACGCCGCGUGAGUGAUGACGGCCUUCGGGUUGUAAAGCUCUGUCUUCAGGGACGAUAAUGACGGUACCUGAGGAGGAAGCCACGGCUAACUACGUG
rnacentral:rRNA from 1 species